rnacentral:rRNA from 1 species
AGUGAACGCUGGCGGUAGGCCUAACACAUGCAAGUCGAACGGCAGCACAGUAAGAGCUUGCUCUUACGGGUGGCGAGUAGCGGACGGGUGAGGCAUACAUCGGAAUCUCCUUUUUCGUGGGGGAUAACGUAGGGCAGCUUCCGCUAAUACCGCAUACGACCUACGGGUGAAAGCAGGGGAUCUUCGGACCUUGCGCGAUUGCAUGAGCCGAUGUCGGAUUAGCUAGUUGGCGGGGUAAAGGCCCACCAAGGCGACGAUCCGUAGCUGGUCUGAGAGGAUGAUCAGCCACACUGGAACUGAGACACGGUCCAGACUCCUACGGGAGGCAGCAGUAGGGAAUAUUGGGCAAUGGGCGCAAGCCUGAUGCAGCCAUACCGCGUGAGUGAAGAAGGCUUUCGGAUUGUAAAGCCCUGUUGUUGGGGAAGAAAAGCAGCAGGUGAAUACCCCGCUGCUCUGACGGUACCUAAAGAAUAAGCACCGGCUAACUUCGUG